GUAACGGCGAGUGAAGCGGCAACAGCUCAGAUUUGAAAUCUGGCCCCUUGGGGUCCGAGUUGUAAUCUGCAGAGGAUGCUUUUGGCGAGGUGCCUUCUGAGUCCCCUGGAACGGGGCGCCAUAGAGGGUGAGAGCCCCGUAUAGUUGGACGCCGAGCCUCUGUAAAGCUCCUUCGACGAGUCGAGUAGUUUGGGAAUGCUGCUCUAAAUGGGAGGUAAAUUUCUUCUAAAGCUAAAUACCGGCCAGAGACCGAUAGCGCACAAGUAGAGUGAUCGAAAGAUGAAAAGCACUUUGAAAAGAGGGUUAAAUAGCACGUGAAAUUGCUGAAAGGGAAGCGCUUGUGACCAGACUUGCGCCCGGCGGAUCAUCCGGCGUUCUCGCCGGUGCACUCCGCCGGGUCCAGGCCAGCAUCGGUUUCGCCAGGGGGACAAAAGCACCGGGAACGUGGCUCUCUUAGGGGAGUGUUAUAGCCCGGGGCACAAUGCCCUUAGGCGGGACCGAGGUUCGCGCUCUGCAAGGAUGCUGGCAUAAUGGUCACCAGCGACCCGUCUUGAAACACGGACCAAGGAGUCAAGCAUUAGGGCGAGUCUUUGGGUGUAAAACCCGCAGGCGCAAUGAAAGUGAACGUAGGUGAGAGCUUCGGCGCAUCAUCGACCGAUCCUGAUGUAUUCGGAUGGAUUUGAGUAAGAGCCUUACCGCUUGGACCCGAAAGAUGGUGAACUAUGCCUGAAUAGGGUGAAGCCAGAGGAAACUCUGGUGGAGGCUCGCAGCGGUUCUGACGUGCAAAUCGAUCGUCAAAUUUGGGCAUGGGGGCGAAAGACUAAUCGAACCUCUAGUACUGUACC
rnacentral:rRNA from 1 species